rnacentral:rRNA from 1 species
UACGUAGGGGGCUAGCGUUGUCCGGAUUUAUUGGGCGUAAAGAGCGUGUAGGCGGCCAGGUAGGUCUGCUGUGAAAACUCGAGGCUCAACCUCGAGACGUCGGCGGAAACCAUCUGGCUAGAGUCCGGAAGAGGAGAGUGGAAUUCCUGGUGUAGCGGUGAAAUGCGCAGAUAUCAGGAAGAACACCGAUGGCGAAGGCAGGUCUCUGGGCAUUAACUGACGCUGAGGAGCGAAAGCAUGGGGAGCGAACAGG